UACGAAGGGGGCUAGCGUUGCUCGGAAUCACUGGGCGUAAAGGGUCCGUAGGCGGUGUGGCAAGUCGGAAGUGAAAUCUCUGGGCUUAACCCAGAGGCUGCUUCCGAAACUGCUGUGCUAGAGUGUGAGAGAGGCGAGUGGAAUUGCGGGUGUAGCGGUGAAAUGCGUAGAUAUCCGCAGGAACAUCCGAGGCGAAAGCGGCUCGCUGGAUCACAACUGACGCUGAGGGACGAAAGCUAGGGGAGCAAACAGG
rnacentral:rRNA from 1 species